rnacentral:rRNA from 1 species
GUCCAACGUUAAUCGGGGCAGGGUAAGUCGACCCCUAAGGCGAGGCCGAAAGGCGUAGUCGAUGGGAAACGGGUUAAUAUUCCCGUACUUCUUACAAUUGCGAUGGGGGGACGGAGAAGGCUAGGUGGGCCUGGCGACGGUUGUCCAGGUUCAAGUGCGUAGGCUGAGAAAUUAGGUAAAUCCGGUUUCUCUUAAGGCUGAGACACGACGUCGAGCAUCUACGGGUGUGAAGUCAUUGAUGCCAUGCUUCCAGGAAAAGCCUCUAAGCUUCAGAUUGUAAGGAAUCGUACCCCAAACCGACACAGGUGGUCGGGUAGAGAAUACCAAGGCGCUUGAGAGAACUCGGGUGAAGG